UGAGUUUCGGUGCUCAGUUUAAUGACAUGGCGGUCGAUUUGAAUUUGGGGUUUAGUUUAACGACAUUUCGGUCGUUUGAAUAUGGGUUUAGUUUAGCGACAUUUCGGUCGUUUGGUUUGGGUUUAGUUUAGCGACGUUUCGGUCGUUUGAAUUUGGGGUUUAGUUUAACGACGUUUCGGUCGUUUGAAUAUGGGUUUAGUUUAGCGACAUUUCGGUCGUUUGAUUUGGGUUUAGUUUAGCGACGUUUCGGUCGUUUGAAUUUGGGGUUUAGUUUAACGACGUUUCGGUCGUUUGAAUAUGGAUUUAGUUUAGCGACAUUUCGAUCAUUUGGUUUGGGUUGGAGGUAUUUGGAUGACAUAGAUUUGGUAGAUUUGAUUGGGUUUUAUUUAUGGACUUUGGAUUUUGGAUCUUUGGGUUUUGGAUCUUUAUUUGUGGACUUUGGAUUUUUUGGGAGUUUGUUUGUGAACUUUGGGUUUGGGAUUUUAUUUUUGGACUUUGGGUUUUGGGAUCUUUAUUUGUGGGCUUUGGGAUUUUUGGGAUUUUAUUUGUGGACUUUGGGAUCUUUGUGAUUUCAUUUGUGGACUUUGAGAUUUUUGGGAUUUUAUUUGUGGACUUUUGGAUUUUUGGGAUUUUAUUUGUGGACUUUGGGAUUUUGUGGAUUUUGGGUUUUGGAUAUUUGGGUUUUGGGUUGAGAAAU
rnacentral:lncRNA from 1 species